rnacentral:rRNA from 1 species
UACGGGGGGGGCAAGCGUUGUUCGGAAUUACUGGGCGUAAAGGGUUCGUAGGUGGCCAACUAAGUCAGACGUGAAAUCCCUCAGCUUAACUGGGGAACUGCGUCUGAGACUGGAUGGCUUGAGUGCAGGAGAGGAACGCGGAAUUCCAGGUGUAGCGGUGAAAUGCGUAGAUAUCGGGAGGAACACCGGUGGCGAAGGCGGUUCUCUGGGCCUUACCUGACGCUGAGGAGCGAAAGCGUGGGGAGCGAACAGG